UAAUACGGGGGGAGCAAGCGUUGUUCGGAAUCAUUGGGCGUAGAGGGUGCGUAGGUGGACAGGUAAGUCAGACGUGAAAACUCCGGGCUUAACCCGGAGCGUGCGUUUGAAACUAUCUGUCUUGAGUACGGGAGAGGGAAGUGGAAUUUCUGGUGUAGCGGUGAAAUGCGUAGAUAUCAGAAAGAACGCCGGUGGCGAAGGCGGCUUCCUGGCCCGAUACUGACGCUGAGGCACGAAAGCUAGGGGAGCAAACAGGAUUAGAUACCCUGGUAGUCCUAGCUGUAAACGAUGGGCACUAGGUGUUGGAGGAUCGACCCCUUCAGUGCCGCAGUUAACGCAUUAAGUGCCCCGCCUGGGGAGUACGACCGCAAGGUUG
rnacentral:rRNA from 1 species